rnacentral:rRNA from 1 species
GGUGAACGCUGGCGGCAUGCCUAAUACAUGCAAGUCGAACGAAAGGACGAUAAGCUUUCGUCUCUGAGGUUAGCGGCCGACGGCUGGGUAAGACGUAGAUCACCUUCCUAUAAGACUUGGAGCACUCCGGGAACCCAUCUCUCAUACCGGCACAUAUUUUGUACCGAUAAGUUCAAAAGUAAACUAGGCUCUUGCUGUAAGUAUUAGAUGAGUCCGAAUUGGAUUAUCUAUUUGGUAAGGUAACGGCUUGCCAACGCUACGAUGCAUCGCAGAUCUGAGAGUGUGAUCAGCCACACUGGAACUGAGACACGGUCCAGACUCCUACGGGAGGCAGCAGUGGGGAAUGUUGCGCAAUGGGCGAAAGCCUGAUGAAGCAACGCCGAGUGAGUGAUGAAGGCCUUCGUGUUGUAAAACUCUUUUGUUAGGAAAGAAAAGAUGUGUAAGUAAACGUGCCGAUCUUGACGGUACCGAAUCAGAAAGCAACGGCUAACUUCGUG